rnacentral:rRNA from 1 species
UACAGAGGGGGCAAGCGUUGUUCGGAAUUACUGGGCGUAAAGGGCGCGUAGGCGGCCUUCUAAGUCGAACGUGAAAUCCCUGGGCUCAACCCAGGAACUGCGUCCGAUACUGGAAGGCUUGAAUCCGGGAGAGGGAUGCGGAAUUCCAGGUGUAGCGGUGAAAUGCGCAGAUAUCAGGAAGAACACCAAUGGCGAAAGCAGCUUUCUGGGACGGGACUGACGCUGAGACGCGAAAGCGUGGGGAGCGAACAGG